CCUACGGGUGGCUGCAGUGGGGAAUAUUGGACAAUGGGGGCAACCCUGAUCCAGCCAUGCCGCGUGUGUGAAGAAGGCCCUCGGGUUGUAAAGCACUUUCAGUGAGGAAGAACGCCUGGUGGUUAAUACCCAUCAGGAAAGACAUCACUCACAGAAGAAGCACCGGCUAACUCCGUGCCAGCAGCCGCGGUAAUACGGAGGGUGCGAGCGUUAAUCGGAAUUACUGGGCGUAAAGCGCGCGUAGGUGGCUUGAUAAGCCGGUUGUGAAAGCCCCGGGCUCAACCUGGGAACGGCAUCCGGAACUGUCAAGCUAGAGUGCAGGAGAGGAAGGUAGAAUUCCCGGUGUAGCGGUGAAAUGCGUAGAGAUCGGGAGGAAUACCAGUGGCGAAGGCGGCCUUCUGGACUGACACUGACACUGAGGUGCGAAAGCGCGGGUAGCAAACAGGAUUAGAUACCCCUGUAGUC
rnacentral:rRNA from 1 species